rnacentral:snRNA from 1 species
UGAUGAGCUCAUAGCGAACUAUUCUUUCGCCUUUUACUUAAGAAUACCGUGUGCUUAUUGCGAAAA